rnacentral:rRNA from 1 species
CUAAGAAUAUUCCGCAAUGGACGAAAGUCUGACGGAGCGACGCCGCGUGGAUGAAGAAGGCCGCAAGGUUGUAAAAUCCUUUUGCUGGGGAAGAAUAAGCGCAGGAGGGAAUGCCUGCGUGAUGACAUGAACCGGCGAAUAAGCCCCGGCCAACUACGUGCCAGCAGCCGCGGUAACAGGGAGGGGGCAAGCGUUGUGCGGAAUUACUGGGCGUAAAGGGCAUGUAGGCGGUUUAGUAAGCUUGGCGUGAAAG